ensembl:snRNA U6 U6 spliceosomal RNA
GUGCUUGCGUGGCAGCACGUACACUAAAACUGGAACAAUACAGAGAAAAUUAGCACAGGCCCCGUGUAAGGGUGACAUGCAAAUCCGUGAAGUGUUCCACAUUAAA